CUGUAGCUCAGUGGUAGAGCAUGUGCCUAGUAUGUAUGAGGCACUGGGUUCAAUUCUCAGUAG
rnacentral:tRNA from 1 species